rnacentral:lncRNA from 1 species
GCCCGAGCAGGGUUGGGGCGAGUGGACCGCGCCUCUAAAGGCGCUUGCCAGUGCAAUCUGGGCGAUCGCUUCCUGGUCCUCGCCUCCUCCGCUGUCUCCCUGGAGUUCUUGCAAGUCGGCCAGGAUGUCUCAGGUACAGCGCGUGCACAGCCAGGCUGCGAAGGGACUUCCAAGGAAGAUGCCAUGAAAGCUUACAUCAACAAAGUAGAAGAGCUAAAGAAAAAAUACGGGAUAUGAGAGACUGGAUUUGGUUACUGUGCCAUGUGUUUAUCCUAAACUGAGACAAUGCCUUGUUUUUUUCUAAUACCGUGGAUGGUGGGAAUUCGGGAAAAUAACCAGUUAAACCAGCUACUCAAGGCUGCUCACCAUACGGCUCUAACAGAUUAGGGGCUAAAACGAUUACUGACUUUCCUUGAGUAGUUUUUAUCUGAAAUCAAUUAAAAGUGUAUUUGUUACUUUAAAU